rnacentral:lncRNA from 10 species
AGCCUGAUUGCUCUGGCAAGGACUUCCAUCACUGUGUUGAAUACGAGUGUUGAGAGUGGGCAUCCUUGUCUUGCUCCAAGAUAAAAGGAAAUCUAGAGAUAGGCUGACAUUGUCAAUGGAAUGGCUGGGAUCCUGGCAGCAACCAACUUCUGGAUACAAAAUGAAUCCCUCAGGCCCUCAAGAGCAGGCUUUGUGUCCAGAAAAGACCAUCUCUGAGGUGUGUUUUGGUUAACAAACCAAUUAAUAUUCAAUGCA